UAACCUGUCCAAGAGAUCGGGAUAACACCUGGAAACAGAUGCUAAUACCGGAUAAUAACAGAUGAUGCCUAUCAACUGUUUAAAAGAUGGUUCUGCUAUCACUCUUGGAUGGACCUGCGGUGCAUUAGCUAGUUGGUAGGGUAACGGCCUACCAAGGCGAUGAUGCAUAGCCGAGUUGAGAGACUGAUCGGCCACAUUGGGACUGAGACACGGCCCAAACUCCUACGGGAGGCAGCAGUU
rnacentral:rRNA from 1 species